rnacentral:rRNA from 1 species
UGCCAGCAGCCGCGGUAAUACGGAAGGUCCAAGCGUUAAUCGGAAUUACUGGGCUUAAAGAGUUCGUAGGUGGUUGAAAAAGUUAGUGGUGAGAUCCCAGAGCUUAACUCUGGAACUGCCAUUAAAACUUUUCAGCUAGAGUAUGAUAGAGGAAAGCAGAAUUUCUAGUGUAGAGGUGAAAUUCGUAGAUAUUAGAAAGAAUACCAAUUGCGAAGGCAGCUUUCUGGAUCAUUACUGACACUGAGGAACGAAAGCAUGGGUAGCGAAGAGGAUUAGAUA